ACAUCUAGAAUACAUGCGACAGUCUCAGGUCUAAGGACAAAGCGUAUAUGUUGUUUAAAGAGAACUACUUCUCGUGUUGGGUCAGUCCUAGCACAUGUCUCCACAUGUGUCCACAUUAUUAGUUCAACAUCUCCAUGUCCAUGACUUGUGAAACAUAGUCAUCAACUAAUACAUGUGCUAGUCUAAUAUUCAUGUGUGGCCUCACAUGAACUCCGACUAGGGACAACUUUAGAAUAACCAUACAAGUAAAGAGUUUCACAUACAAUUCACAUAAUUGCAAAUCAAUUCAAGUAGCCUUCAAUGGAUAUUCAAUGAACACAACAUACAAAUCAUGGAUACAAAUGGAAUAUCAUCAUCUCUAUGAUUGCCUCUAGGGCAUACCUCCAACAGUCUCCCACUUGCACUAGAGUCAAUCUUGAAGGUACCUAAUAUCCAUAGCUCUUACAUGCGCAUCAUGCUUAGCCUGCGGGAGUGGUUUUGUCAACGGAACAGAAAUGUUCAGAUCCGUGUGUAUUUUGCAUAUCUUGAUCUCACCCCGGUUAACGAAGUCUCGAAUGAGAUGAAAUCGCCGCAUUACGUGUUUGUUCUUCUGGUGGUUCCUUGGCUCCUUUGCUUGCGAAAUUGCCCCAUUGUUAUCACAGUAGAGAUUCAAUGGGCUGGACGCAUUCGGGAACACACCAAGCUCAAUGAGGAAAUUCCUUAUCCAAACACCUUUCUUCGCGGCUUCCGAAGCCGUGAUGUACUCGGCUUCUGUCGUAGAAUCGGCCACCGUCUCCUGCUUGGAACUCUUCCAACUAACAGCACCACCAUUUAGCGUGAACAAAAAUCCUGAUUGUGACUUUGAAUCAUCUCUGUCGGUUUGGAAACUAGCAUCGGUGUAACCUGUUACAACGAGCUCCUCCUCACCUCCAUAGACGAGGAACAUAUCUUUAGUCCUUCUCAAGUACUUAAGAAUGUUUUUCACCGCUGUCCAGUGACUCUCACCUGGAUCAUCAUACUUAGCGCAUAUGAAACAUCUGGGCGAGUACUUAUCAUUGCAUACAUGAUAGAUCCAAUAGCCGAGGCGUAUGGCAGUCUACUCAUGCGAUCCCGCUCAUCAGCAGUCGAAGGACACUGAGUCUUGCUGAGAUGUAUGCCAUGUGACAUAGGCAAGAACCCUUUCUUUGCCUCUUCCAUGCUGAAUCGCUUCAACACUUUGUCAAUGUAAGUAUCUUGGCUUAAACCUAUAAGCCUUCUCGAUCUAUCUCUAUAGAUCUUAAUGCCCAGAAUAUAUGCCGCUUCCCCUAAGUCCUUCAUCGAAAAACUAUUUUUCAGUGAAGUCUUUACGGACUCAAGCAUAGGAAUGUUAUUUCCAAUCAGUAAUAUGUCAUCCACAUAUAAGAUUAGAAAUAGUACAGAGCUCCCACUAACCUUCUUGUAAACACAAGACUCUUCUUCGUUCUUGGUGAAGUCAAACCCUUUGACCACUUCAUCAAAACGAAUGUUCCAACUCCUAGAUGCUUGCUUCAACCCAUAAAUGGAUCUCUGAAGCUUGCAUACCUUUCCAGCAUUUUUCGGAUCGACAAAACCCUCGGGCUGUAUCAUAUACACGUCCUCAGUUAGGUUUCCAUUCAGGAAAGCUGUCUUGACAUCCAUCUGCCAUAUCUCAUAAUCGAAAUAUGCAGCUAUAGCUAGAAUAAUCCGAAUGGACUUAAGCAUCACUACGGGCGAGAAGGUCUCGUCGUAGUCAACUCCUUGAACUUGUCGAAAACCUUUUGCGACAAGUCGUGCUUUAUAGAUGUGAACAUUUCCAUCCAUGUCCUUUUUCUUCUUAUAGAUCCACUUGCACUCUAUGGCUUUAACACCAUCAGGCGGGUCAACCAAGUUCCAAACUUGAUUUUCUCCCAUGGACUCUAUUUCGGAUUGCAUGGCACUCUGCCAUUUUUCGGAGUCUGGGUCCAUCAUUGCUUCUGCAUAUGUCGCAGGCUCAUCAUUGUCCAACAAUAAUAUUUCCCGCAUUUCGCGGAGCCUUGCCGACCUUCGUGGUUGUGGCGGUGCUUCUCUUGCCAUGGGUAUCUCAACUUGUUCUGCUACGUUAGCAUCACUCAUUGAUUCUUGCCCGAUCGGCUCAUCUUGAACUUCUUCAAGAUGCACUGUCUUUCCACUCUUUUCUCCUUUGAGAAACUCUUUCUCUAGGAAAACCCCGUUCCGAGCGACAAACACUUUGCUUUCUGAUCGGUUGUAGAAAUAAUAUCCCAAAGUUUCCUUUGGAUAUCCCACGAAAAUGCACUUAUCCGACUUGGGUGUGAUCUUGUCCGACUGAAGUCGCUUGACAAACACUUCACAUCCCCAAACCUUUAGAAAAGACAGACUAGGAACCUUUCCAGUCCAUAUCUCAUAUGGUGUCUUAACUACGGAUUUAGAUGGUACCCUAUUAAGUGUGAAAGCUGCUGUUUCUAGAGCGUAUCCCCAAAAUGACAACGGUAGGUCCGACUGGCUCAUCAUUGAUCGAACCAUGUCUAACAAAGUUCGAUUACGUCGCUCGGACACACCGUUUCUCUAAGGUGUUCCAGGCGGCGUAAGUUGUGGAACAAUUCCGCAACUCUUUAGAUGAUUGCUAAACUCGUGGCUCAAAUACUCGCCUCCACGAUCAGAUCGUAAGGCCUUAAUUUUCUUGCCACGCUGAUUUUCAACUUCAUUCUGAAAUUCCUUGAACUUUUCAAAGGUUUCAGACUUGUGCCUCAUCAAGUGGACAUAGCCAUAUCUACUAAAAUCAUCAAUGAAAGUUAUGAAGUAUUGGAAUCCUCCUCUAGCCGUCGUGCUCAUUGGUCCGUAUACAUCACUAUGUACGAGUUCCAACAAGUCUACUGCUCUCUUAGGAAAUCCCGUGAAAGGUGUCUUGGUCAUCUUGCCUAGCAAGCAAGCCUCGCAUGUCUCGUAUGAUUCAAAAUCAAACGAAGUUAGAAGUCCAUCAGAAUGGAGCUUCUUCAUGUGCUUUUCACUUAUAUGACCCAAACGACAAUGCCACAAGUAUGUAGGACUCAAAUCAUUAGGCCGAGGCCUUUUAGCACUUACAUUACAGACAGGUGAACCAUCAAGAUUUAAAACAAAUAAUCCAUUCACAAUGGGUGCAAAAGCCAUAAACAUAUUAUUCUUAGAGAUCACACAACCAUUGUUUUCACUCGCAAAUGAAUAACCAUCCUUCAUCAAGCAUGAAGGAGAUAAAAUGUUUCGACUUAAACUAGGAACAAAAUAACAAUUAUUCAACUCCAUAAUAAAUCCUGACGGGAGGUGGAGUUGCAUCGUCCCGACGGUCAAAGCAGCAACUCUUGCAUUAUUGCCCACGCGGAAAUCAACUUCUCCUCUUUCCACGCUUCUACUUCUUAUCAUUCCCUACAUCGAAUUGCAAAUAUGAGCAACCGAUCCGGUAUCAAAUACCCAAGAAUUAAUAAUUGUAUCAGCGAGAAAUAUGUUGUCUAUAACAUUAACAACAAGCGUACCUGAGGUAGAAGUACUCUUACUUCCGCCGUUCUUCAACGAAGCUAGGUACUGCUUGCAGUUUCUCUUCCAGUGACCAAGUUCAUGACAGUAAAAGCACUCUUUAUCUGGAGCAGGUCCAGCUUUAGCCUUGGGCGCUGGGUUUGGCUUGGACACCCCAGCCUUGCCCUUCUUCUUCCAAGAAUUGCCCUUCUUCUUAAAGGUAGGCUUGUUCUGUACAGCCAUCACAUGGCUGGUACUAGCGCUUUUCUUAAUGUCUACCUCUGCUGUCUUGAGCAUACCACACAGUUCAUUCAGACCCUUCUCCGUCCCAUGCAUAUGGUAGUUCGAGAUGAAGUUCCCAUAGCUAGGCGGAAGAGAUGAAAGAAUGAAGUCAGUGGCCAACUCUUUGCCCAUUGGGAAGCCCAGCUUCUCCAAUCGCUGAGUGUAACCAACCAUCUUGAUUACAUGUGGUCCUACUGCUGCGCCUUCUGCUAACUUGCACUCCAGAAAGGCUUUGGACACAUUGAACCUUUCGGUCCUAGCCUGUGUCUGGAACAUGUCCUUGAGCGCCACGAUCAUAUCGUGUGCCUCAUGAUUUGUUUCGAACUGCAUCUGCAGCUCGGGUUCCAUGCAAGCAAGCAUAAGGCAGCUUACCUCAAGAUUAGCAUCAAAUGCCUUCUUGUAAGCAGCCUUAACGGCAGCAGAUGCAUCAUCAGCAGGUACUGGUGGUAGUGGGGUGUCUAGAACAUCUUCCUUUUUCUCAGCCCUGAGAACAAUUCUCAGGUUACGGACCCAAUCCGAGUAGUUUGUUCCAUUCAACUUGUCCUUCUCAAGGACCGAACGCAAAGCAAACGAUGCGGUGGUGUUGCUAGGUGCCAUUUAAUCUACAACAAAAGUAAUGCAAAAUACACUAAGACAAACGUAUCCAUGAUAGAGCAAAUUACAUUAAGCUAUUUUAACAGAAUCUACUCCCACUAAAAUCAAUAUCCCUCUAUUGAAACUUAGCGAUUCAGGAUCCACAACUAACAAGUCCACUAGUGAGCUUUAGCAUCACUGCUAGCAAACGAGGUAGAUCGGUAAGCAACUUUUGCUAAUCAUAUCACAUAUGACUCCUGUUGUUGGGUGACAUCUCCAUGUCUCGGCGCCCAACCUUUAUGCCCCAAGGUCCUUAACCAUUAAGAUAACCUUGUUAAGCAAACCAACCCUUAUGCGUGUAAGUGUCCCACACAAACCCGUCUAGUCAAGGAAAACUAGUGGCACCCUAAUUUCAUAGACCCACCACUAAUUGUACAAGACAUGGGACAGCGCAAGUUUUAGUUGGGAGGUCAUACUAACUUAAACUUUGUGAGGGAUCGUUCUACUUCUAACAUCACAGCAUGCAGAAAGUAAAACAUAAACAGAAUAGCAUUCACACAGUUGUGACACAGUAUGGCCCGUUUUCAUAUGGUGAUCUCCAUCUCCAUAGAACCUGUUCACCAUGGUGAUCUCCAUCUCUAUGUUCCAUGUGCGCCAUCCUCCUGGUGAUGAGUCCUCCAAGAACUAGAGCAUGCUAUUACGCCUAAUAGCUAGUAAAGAAUCUAGUAAUGAAGAUUACAUAGUUGCUUGGAUCAUCAAAGAUUUGUACGCAGACCAUUAAAUACAAUUAAGUGACAACACAUAUGGCUCCUGCCGUGUUGCCGUACGCGCGACACGCAGGUCACGAAUGAGUUACACACAUGCAUCACAUACACAAGGGGGCCAUACUGAUCACAAGAUACAUGCAUACAUCCUGCAAAACAGAGUUAGGCGUCCUAACGUUCCAAACUUCGGAGGCCCGAAACUCCAUCUUCCAAGCCGAAUUUGGCAAAUCUAAUUUCGCCGAAAACGGCUUUCAUGUAUAACUUUUUCUGUAGAUCAAUUUUCAUAUAAAAAUCGCCCCGAUCCGAGAUCGUACCGAAAAGUUACGGCUGAUUUACCGAAGCAUACGCAUACGGCAAAAUCCCGACCCCGGCAGUAGAUCCCAUCUACUAUUGCACAUCUAAUGCGCCUGGCGUAUGACCCUGGAUCUCAAUUCGACCAAUCAUAUUGAUCUUCACUCACUGCAACUGGAUUUACGUGUAUCACUUAACUCCGAUGGCGGAAACCGACCGGUAGGAGUAUGUCGUUACACUACCAUUGCAGCAAGGGCACGAAACCAGGACAUAGAUCAAACAGAAAACUCACAUAUCUCCAUAUGCUCACAUCCCGAAUCCAAAACUAAGCAGCUACGGCUCUUGAUACCACUGUUGGGAUACGAGGUAGGCUACACUAGCGCAAAUCAAAAUUUCUACCGCGUAUAACCAGGAAGAACUGCCGUAUAAGGAUCACGGGAUUACCACUCGACGCACUACUGGUGCGGAAGAUGUAGAUAUGCGUCGAUGCAGUGAAGACGAUCACGUAGUCGUACGUAGUCGAUCAACGUAGUCGUACGUAGUCGAUCACGUCACGUCCAGCAGCUCCUCAGCAGAUCGUCCACGUGCAGCAAGAUCGCCUCCGGUGCCGCGGCUCGUCGUCGGCUCGUCGUGGCUCAUCGGCGGCUCGUCGAUGGCUCGUCCAAGUGCUGCAGGCGCAACACCUCCAAGGUAUCCACACGUGCAGGGAGGAAGCGUCGCAAGCCGGACUGCUAGAUCCGCGAGUUGCAACAGGCGAGGGCGUGGGAGGCGCGGCAGGUGUGUUUCGCCAAAAAGGUGUAAACCCUAGGGCGCCCCCACCCCUCUAUUUAUAGAGGUUCCUGAUGGGCCUCUGGAUCCGAGGCCCAUUAGUACUCCUAAACCUAAUCCAACUCGGAUCAGAUCCGAAUUGGGCUUCCAACCCCUUAAGUGUGUGACCCUAUGGGUUCGGAUACGUAUAGACAUGGCCCGAGUACUCCUACUCGGCCCAAUAGUCGGUAGCGGCCUCUAGCAAGACGUGCCAACUCCUAUACGCAUACGAAGAUCAUAUCAGACGAACCAUCACAACAUAAUAUACAUGCUAUUCCCUUUGCCUCACGAUAUUUGGUCUAGCUUCAAGCCGACCGCUCUUUCACGAUCCUGUGAUUCGUAAUCCAUUUGUAGGUUAACUCUUAACCGUACGUAGCAUGGCCAUGCAUUUUUGGAUCCGAUCACUCGAGGGGCCCAGAGAUAUCACUCUCAAUCAGAGAGGGGCAAAUCCCAUCUUGACUGACCAUGUCUCAUAGCAUGCUUCUUGACAAACCCGAAAGCUACCUUUAUAACUACCCUAUUACGGCGUAGCGUUUGAUAGCCCCUAAGUAGGUCGAUCCACAUCUAGAAUACAUGCGACAGUCUUAGGUCUAAGGACAAAGCGUAUAUGUUGUUUAAAGAGAGAACUACUUCUCGUGUUGGGUCAGUCCUAGCACAUGUCUCCACAUGUGUCCACAUUAUUAGUUCAACAUCUCCAUGUCCAUGACUUGUGAAACAUAGUCAUCAACUAAUACAUGUGCUAGUCUAAUAUUCAUGUGUGUCCUCACCUGAACUCCGACUAGGGACAACUUUAGAAUAACCAUACAAGUAAAGAGUUUCACAUACAAUUCACAUAAUUGCAAAUCAAUUCAAGUAGCCUUCAAUGGAUAUUCAAUGAACACAACAUACAAAUCAUGGAUACAAAUGGAAUAUCAUCAUCUCUAUGAUUGCCUCUAGGGCAUACCUCCAACACCCACGCCCACCACUACACCGCGCGAGCGAACAGCCAAACCUGCAAGCGCUGCCCCUUCCACAGGCGUCGCCCCUC
rnacentral:lncRNA from 1 species